rnacentral:rRNA from 1 species
UACGGGGGGGGCAAGCGUUGUUCGGAAUUACUGGGCGUAAAGGGCUCGUAGGCGGCCAACUAAGUCCGACGUGAAAUCCCCAGGCUUAACCUGGGAACUGCGUCGGAUACUGGAUGGCUUGAAUCCGGGAGAGGGAUGCGGAAUUCCUGGUGUAGCGGUGAAAUGCGCAGAUAUCAGGAGGAACACCGGUGGCGAAGGCGGGUCUCUGGGCCGUAACUGACGCUGAGGAGCGAAAGCGUGGGAGCGAACAGG